rnacentral:rRNA from 1 species
AUACGUAGGGUGCAAGCGUUAAUCGGAAUUACUGGGCGUAAAGCGUGCGCAGGCGGUUUUGUAAGCCAGAGGUGAAAUUCCAGGGCUCAACCAGGGAACUUCCUUUGUGACCGAAAAGCUAGAGUACGGCAGAGGGGGGUGGAAUUACGCGUGGAGCAGUGGAAUGCGUAGAUAUGCGGAGGAACACCGAUGGCGAAGGCAAUCCCCUGGGCCUGUACUGACGCUCAUGCACGAAAGCGUGGGGAGCAAACAGGAUUAGAUACCCUGGUAGUCCACGCCCUAAACGAUGUCAACUGGUUGUUGGGUCUUCAUUGACUCAGUAACGAAGCUAACGCGUGAAGUUGACCGCCUGGGGAGUACGGCCGCAAGGUUGAAACUCAAAUGAAUUGACGGGG